CCCAUUGUGCAGAGAGGUAAAAAUAUCUCGAUAGUGUCAUCGAUUGUUGCCCAGCUCUAACACUCAGUAAGACAUUUAAUAUCAAUCCAUAGUUGAUUAAAAGUAAAGAAUACACCUACAUCAUGCAGGGGCUCGGAUUACAAAGUCUUAA